AUUGAACGCUGGCGGCAUGCCUUACACAUGCAAGUCGAACGGCAGCACGGGGGCAACCCUGGUGGCGAGUGGCGAACGGGUGAGUAAUACAUCGGAACGUGUCCUGUAGUGGGGGAUAGCCCGGCGAAAGCCGGAUUAAUACCGCAUACGAUCUACGGAGGAAAGCGGGGGAUCUUCGGACCUCGCGCUGCAGGGGCGGCCGAUGGCAGAUUAGCUAGUUGGUGGGGUAAAGGCCUACCAAGGCGACGAUCUGUAGCUGGUCUGAGAGGACGACCAGCCACACUGGGACUGGGACACGGCCCAGACUCCGACGGGAGGCAGCAGUGGGGAAUUUUGGACAAUGGGGGCAACCCUGAUCCAGCAAUGCCGCGUGUGUGAAGAAGGCCUUCGGGUUGUAAAGCACUUUUGUCCGGAAAGAAAACUUCGUCCCUAAUAUGGAUGGAGGAUGACGGUACCGGAAGAAUAAGCACCGGCUAACUACGUGCCAGCAGCCGCCGUAACAC
rnacentral:rRNA from 1 species